GCCGGUGGUGAUGCGCUUAUGGGAGACACCCGUACCCAUCCCGAACACGACGGUUAAGACGUAAGCGGCCGAUGGUACUGCACUGGAGACGGUGUGGGAGAGCAAAUCACCUCCUUUC
rnacentral:rRNA from 1 species